rnacentral:rRNA from 1 species
CAGUAGCCGCGGGAAUACGGAGGGUGCAAGCGUUAAUCGGAAUUACUGGGCGUAAAGCGUGCGUAGGCGGUUUGUUAAGUCUGAUGUGAAAGCCCCCGGCUCAACCGGGGAGGGUCAUUGGAAACUGGGAAACUUGAGUGCAGAAGAGGAGAGUGGAAUUCCACGUGUAGCGGUGAAAUGCGUAGAGAUGUGGAGGAACACCAGUGGCGAAGGCGACUCUCUGGUCUGUAACUGACGCUGAGGAGCGAGAGCGUGGGGAGCGAACAGGAUUAGAUACCCGUGUAGUCCCUGUCUCUUAUAC